GACGAACGCUGGCGGCGUGCCUAAUACAUGCAAGUAGAACGCUGAAGAGAGGAGCUUGCUCUUCUUGGCUGAGUUGCGAACGGGUGAGUAACGCGUAGGUAACCUGCCUUGUAGCGGGGGAUAACUAUUGGAAACGAUAGCUAAUACCGCAUAACAAUGGAUGACACAUGUCCUUUAUUUGAAAGGGGCAAUUGCUCCACUACAAGAUGGACCUGCGUUGUAUUAGCUAGUAGGUGAGGUAAUGGCUCACCUAGGCGACGAUACAUAGCCGACCUGAGAGGGUGAUCGGCCACACUGGGACUGAGACACGGCCCAGACGCCUACGGGAGGCAGCAGUAGGGAAUCUUCGGCAAUGGGGGCAACCCUGACCGAGCAGCGCCGCGUGAGUGAAGAAGGUUUUCGGAUCGGAAAGCUCUGUUGUAAGUCAAGAACGGGUGUGAGAGUGGAAAGUUCACACUGUGACGGUAGCUAAGCAGAAAGGGACGGCUAACUACGUG
rnacentral:rRNA from 1 species